CACGUAGGGGGCGAGCGUUGUCCGGAUUUAUUGGGCGUAAAGAGCUCGUAGGCGGUUUCGUUAGUCGGGUGUGAAAACCCCAGGCUCAACCUGGGGACGCCACCCGAUACUGCGAUGACUAGAGUCCGGUAGGGGAGUGUGGAAUUCCUGGUGUAGCGGUGAAAUGCGCAGAUAUCAGGAGGAACACCGAUGGCGAAGGCAGGUCUCUGGGCUGUAACUGACGCUGAGGAGCGAAAGCAUGGGGAGCGAACAGG
rnacentral:rRNA from 1 species